CAACUGCAGAGAGUGGAGACCCGGCAAAGCAAACAAAUGAAUACUGAAAAAGAUCCCCAAAGGAGAUGUAAGGAUCCGGAACUCUAAUGUCUGCCAGAAGCUUCAGCCACCUUCACAGGCUAGGGCUCACCGUCCAUUGUGGAGGUGAAGACCAGAUGAGAGCUGCUGGAUUGACCUUGAUGUGCCAUGUCCUUGUGUGGAUGAAGGACCUACAUCUCAGGAAUGGCCAGCAGCAGAUGUAACACAUGUGUCCAGGAAUGGGCUAAAUAACCUAC